rnacentral:rRNA from 1 species
UUUUAUUAUGAGAGUUUGAUCCUGGCUCAGGACGAACGCUGGCGGCGUGCCUAAUACAUGCAAGUCGAACGCUUCUUUUC